rnacentral:rRNA from 1 species
CGGACGGGUGAGUAACGCGUGGGAACGUGCCCUUUGCUACGGAAUAGUCCCGGGAAACUGGGUUUAAUACCGUAUGUGCCCUUCGGGGGAAAGAUUUAUCGGCAAAGGAUCGGCCCGCGUUGGAUUAGGUAGUUGGUGGGGUAAUGGCCUACCAAGCCGACGAUCCAUAGCUGGUUUGAGAGGAUGAUCAGCCACACUGGGACUGAGACACGGCCCAGACUCCUACGGGAGGCAGCAGUGGGGAAUCUUAGACAAUGGGGGCAACCCUGAUCUAGCCAUGCCGCGUGAGUGAUGAAGGCCUUAGGGUUGUAAAGCUCUUUCAGCUGGGAAGAUAAUGACGGUACCAGCAGAAGAAGCCCCGGCUAACUCCGUGCCAGCAGCCGCGGUAAUACGGAGGGGGCUAGCGUUGUUCGGAAUUACUGGGCGUAAAGCGCACGUAGGCGGACUGGAAAGUUGGGGGUGAAAUCCCGGGGCUCAACCUCGGAACUGCCUUCAAAACUAUCAGUCUGGAGUUCGAGAGAGGUGAGUGGAAUACCGAGUGUAGAGGUGAAAUUCGUAGAUAUUCGGUGGAACACCAGUGGCGAAGGCGGCUCACUGGCUCGAUACUGACGCUGAGGUGCGAAAGCGU